rnacentral:rRNA from 1 species
CCUAAGGACAAGCUGUGACGGGUAUGAACGAUUUAUCGUUCUAAGUGAGUGACGUCACACUGCCAAGAAAAGCUUCUAGUUAGAAUCAGACCGCCCGUACCGCAAACCGACACAGGUAGUCGGGUCGAGAAGACCAAGGUGAGCGAGGGAACUCUCGUUAAGGAACUCGGCAAAAUGACCCCGUAACUUCGGGAGAAGGGGUGCUGAUCGCAAGAUCAGCCGCAGUGAAUAGGCCCAGGCGACUGUUUAUCAAAAACACAGGUUUCUGCAAAAUCGUAAGAUGAAGUAUAGGGGCUGACGCCUGCCCGGUGCUGGAAGGUUAAGAGGAUGGGUUAGCGUAAGCGAAGCUCAGAAUUGAAGCCCCAGUAAACGGCGGCCGUAACAAUAACGGUCCUAAGGUAGCGAAAUUCCUUGUCGGGUGAGUUCCGACCCGCACGAAAGGCGUAACGAUCUGGGCACUGUCUCAACGAGAGACUCGGUGAAAUUAUAAUACCCGUGAAGAUGCGGGUUACCCGCGACAGGACGGAAAGACCCCAUGGAGCUUUACUGUAGCUUGAUAUUGGGUGUUUGUACAACUUGUACAGGAUAGGUAGGAGCCGUAGAAGUCGGGACGCUAGUUUCGACGGAGGCAUCGGUGGGAUACUACCCUCGUUGUAUGAACACUCUAACCCACGCCGGCAAUCACGGCGGGAGACAGUGUCAGGUGGGCAGUUUGACUGGGGCGGUCGCCUCCUAAAAGGUAACGGAGGCGCCCAAAGGUUCCCUCAGAAUGGUUGGAAAUCAUUCGCAGAGUGUAAAGGCAUAAGGGAGCUUGACUGCGAGACCUACAAGUCGAGCAGGGACGAAAGUCGGGCUUAGUGAUCCGGUGGUUCCGCAUGGAAGGGCCAUCGCUCAACGGAUAAAAGCUACCCUGGGGUUAACAGGCUUAUCUCCCCCAAGAGUCCACAUCGACGGGGAGGUUUGGCACCUCGAUGUCGGCUCAUCGCAUCCUGGGGCUGUAGUCGGUCCCAAGGGUUGGGCUGUUCGCCCAUUAAAGCGGUACGCGAGCUGGGUUCAGAACGUCGUGAGACAGUUCGGUCCCUAUCCGUCGCGGGCGCAGGAAAUUUGAGAGGAUCUGUCCUUAGUACGAGAGGACCGGGAUGGACAUACCGCUGGUGUACCAGUUGUUCUGCCAAGGGCAUCGCUGGGUAGCUAUGUAUGGAUGAGAUAAACGCUGAAAGCAUCUAAGUGCGAAACUCACCUCGAGAUAAGAUUUCCCACUCCUUUAUGGAGUUAAGACCCCUGAGAGAUGAUCAGGUAGAUAGGAUGGAAGUGGAAGUGCGGCGACGCAUGGAGCGGACCAUUACUAAUCGGUCGAGGACUUAAC